GUAAUAGCUCAGUGGUAGAGCACUUCCUUGGUAAGGAAGAGGUCCCGAGUUCAAAUCUCGGUU
rnacentral:tRNA from 3 species